UACGGAGGGUGCAAGCGUUAAUCGGAAUUACUGGGCGUAAAGCGCGCGUAGGCGGCUUCGUCAGUUGGAUGUGAAAGCCCCGGGCUUAACCUGGGAACUGCAUUCAAUACUGCGGAGCUAGAGUAUGGUAGAGGAUAGUGGAAUUCCAGGUGUAGCGGUGAAAUGCGUAGAUAUCUGGAGGAACAUCAGUGGCGAAGGCGACUGUCUGGACCAAUACUGACGCUGAGGUGCGAAAGCGUGGGAGCAAACAGGAUUAGAUACCCCGUAGUCC
rnacentral:rRNA from 1 species